GUCAAAUUCAAGCAAAAAGAAAAGCUGCAGAAAGAGGAAAUAGAAUCAAAGUUUUAGAUAAGGAAGUGACUGGUAGUUAAUUCAGUCAUUCUGGACAUGACUGGUGGGGUAUGCAUGGCAGUGUACUUUGUCACAAAAACCAAAGGAAAUUUUUUUUUUCCCAGGUGAAGUCUUGUCAGAGUGUUAGAUGUUAAAAGGAUCAAUG
rnacentral:misc_RNA from 1 species